rnacentral:rRNA from 1 species
GACGAACGCUGGCGGCGCGCUUAACACAUGCAAGUCGAACGGAAAGGCCUGCUUUCCCUUGUGGAUUGCGGGUACUCGAGUGGCGAACGGGUGAGUAACACGUGAGUGAUCUGCCCCCAACUUGGGUAUAAGCCUGGGAAACUGGGUCUAAUUCCCGAUAGGACUGCAGGGUGGUGCCUGUGGUGGAAAACGAUUUUCUAGUGGUUGGGGAUGAGCUCGCGGCCUAUCAGCUUGUUGGUGGGGUAAUGGCCUACCAAGGCGGCGACGGGUAGCCGGCCUGAGAGGGUGGACGGCCACAUUGGGACUGAGAUACGGCCCAGACUCCUACGGGAGGCAGCAGUGGGGAAUAUUGCACAAUGGGCGGAAGCCUGAUGCAGCGACGCCGCGUGGGGGAUGACGGCCUUCGGGUUGAAAACUCCUUUCGACCGCGAGGAAGCCACCUGGUUGGAAGGGUGGUGACGGUAGUGGUAGAAGAAGCACCGGCUAACUACGUG